rnacentral:misc_RNA from 1 species
AUGCGAUAGGUAGUGUGAAUUGCAGAUGUAACGUGAAUCAUCGAAUCUUUGAACGCAAAUUGCACUCUCUGGUAUUCCGGGGAGUAUGCCUGUUUGAGGGUCGCCAAAUCAACAUCGAAAUUCAUUUGCUUUUUUGCAAAUGUUUUAUCGGAUUUGAGCCGUCUUUUAUUUUUUUUAAUUAAAGUGGCUUAAAAUGUAUUUUUUGGUAUCGAAAACGUUAUUUUACGAUCCAAUUGAUCAAAAAAACGAACGUUUCGAAUGCCGUCUUUUUAAUGUAAUACGUUUGACUGUGUUGCAAUCAUGGUUUCAUUCGUAUACGAUUUUUAAUUUUUGACCUCAAAUCAGGUAAGAACACCCGCUGAACUUAA